rnacentral:rRNA from 1 species
CUACGGAGGGUGCAAGCGUUAAUCGGAAUUACUGGGCGUAAAGAGUACGUAGGUGGUUUAUUAAGUCAGAUGUGAAAGCCCCGGGCUCAACCUGGGAACUGCAUUUAAAACUAGUAAACUAGAGUAUGGUAGAGGGGGGUAGAAUUUCUAGUGUAGCGGUGAAAUGCGUAGAUAUUAGAAGGAAUACCAGUGGCGAAGGCGGCCCCCUGGACCAAUACUGACACUGAGGUACGAAAGCGUGGGUAGCGAACAGGAUUAGAAACCCCAGUAGUCC